CUCUCUCUCACACCACAAUAAAAACCUUAUUCUCUGCGUUCUGCUUCUCUUCCUCUUCCUCUCACCAAAUCUCGCGCAAAUCAUCGUCGGCGUUUCACCAGUUCAUCGUAGCCGGCGACUCCUUUUCCCCUCCUUUCUGUCUCCUCUUCUCGCCAGGUCUUCCACGAAGCUCGCAGAUAUUACCGCAAAACACAUGGGCGUAUUCUCGUGGCAAAAUUGACUGAACUGAAGAAGUUGAUUUGUGUAGAAGGGAACAAGAAAUUAGAGCUGCUGAGGGAAUGAUCUUUGGAAAAAGAAAUUAUGGGAGAUGAAGAUGAGUUCUAGAAAUUAGUUAUUGUUGUGUUUUUCUUU